rnacentral:rRNA from 1 species
AUUGAACGCUGGCGGCAGGCCUAACACAUGCAAGUCGAGCGGAUGAAGGGAGCUUGCUCCUGGAUUCAGCGGCGGACGGGUGAGUAAUGCCUAGGAAUCUGCCUGGUAGUGGGGGAUAACGUCCGGAAACGGGCGCUAAUACCGCAUACGUCCUGAGGGAGAAAGUGGGGGAUCUUCGGACCUCACGCUAUCAGAUGAGCCUAGGUCGGAUUAGCUAGUUGGUGGGGUAAAGGCCUACCAAGGCGACGAUGCGUAACUGGUCUGAGAGGCUGAUCAGUCACACUGGAACUGAGACACGGUCCAGACUCCUACGGGAGGCAGCAGUGGGGAAUAUUGGACAAUGGGCGAAAGCCUGAUGCAGCCAUGCCGCGUGUGUGAAGAAGGUCUUCGGAUUGUAAAACACUUUAAGUUGGGAAGAAGAGAAGUAAGUUAAUACAUUGCUGUUUUGACGUUACCAACAGAAAAAGCACCGGCUAACUUCGUG